UGUCGUCGAAAAUGUCGCCGGCAGAGGGACGUUUACGGAAUUCAUAAGUGUCGGCGAUCUGGCCGACACCGGCGUCGAAGCGGUUGCCUUCGAUGCCCCCGAGACCGUUUCGUUUGACCUCGUCNACGAUGUUGUCCUGAAUGACGGCGCGCAGCCGCUCGAGUUCAAGCUCGCGCGAGCCGCCGCUCAUCUGCGCAACGACAUCGUCGGCCGCGCGCGCGGGAUCCUUGAUGGCGAGGCGAACGCCCGCGACCGUCGCACGCACGAACGCUUUCACGGCAUCCGGAUUGGCGGCGGCGAAUUUCGGAUUCACGAUCAGCGCAUGUCCGUAGACUUCGCUGCCGAACUCGGAGAAGCNUCACCGCAAGAUCGUUUGCCGGAACGCCGCGAUCACGCAGAUUGAUCGCUGACAGAAACGA
rnacentral:misc_RNA from 1 species